GGGCCAGUAGUCCAAUGGUUUAAGACGUUGCCUUCGCAAGGCAGAAAUGGGAGUUCGAUUCUCCUCUGGUCCA
rnacentral:tRNA from 1 species